rnacentral:piRNA from 1 species
UCUCAGAGUGUGUGAAAUAUUUUUCAAAG